GAGUUUGAUCCUGGCUCAGGAUGAACGCUGGCGGCGUGCUUAACACAUGCAAGUCGAACGGGAAUGCCACGCUGAUGCGAUUUCGGUCAAAUCAUGUGGCAUUCGAGUGGCGGACGGGUGAGUAACGCGUGGGUAACCUGCCUUACACAGGGGGAUAACACCUGGAAACAGGUGCUAAUACCGCAUAAGCGCACAGGGCCGCAUGGCCCGGUGUGAAAAACUCCGGUGGUGUAAGAUGGACCCGCGUCUGAUUAGCUUGUUGGCGGGGUAGGGGCCCACCAAGGCGACGAUCAGUAGCCGGCCUGAGAGGGUGGACGGCCACAUUGGGACUGAGACACGGCCCAAACUCCUACGGGAGGCAGCAGUGGGGGAUAUUGGACAAUGGGGGAAACCCUGAUCCAGCGACGCCGCGUGAGUGAGGAAGUAUUUCGGUAUGUAAAGCUCUGUCAGCAGGGAAGAAAGAAAUGACGGUACCUGACCAAGAAGCCCC
rnacentral:rRNA from 1 species